AGAGUUUUGAUCCUGGCUCAGGAUCAACGCUGGCGGCGUGCCUAAUGCAUGCAAGUCGGACGGGGCGUCCUUUCGGGGGGCGUCACGUGGCGGACGGGUGAGGAACGCGUGGGGAACCUGCCCUGGGGUGGGGGAUAGCCGCCGGAAACGGCGGGUAAGACCGCAUGUGCUUGCCCCUCAGUUGGGGGGGUAAGGAAAACCCUUCGGGGUGCCCUUGGAGGGUCCUGCGGCCGAUUAGCUUGUUGGUGGGGUAAUGGCUCACCAAGGCGGUGAUCGGUAGCUGGUCUGAGAGGACGGCCAGCCACACGGGGACUGAGACACGGCCCCGACUCCUACGGGAGGCAGCAGCAAGGAAUUUUCCCCAAUGGGCGCAAGCCUGGGGGAGCAACGCCGCGUGGGGGAGGACGCCCUUCGGGGUGUAAACCCCUUUUCUCGGGGACGAACGACUGACGGUACCCGAGGAAGAAGGCCCGGCUAACUACGUG
rnacentral:rRNA from 1 species